UACGUAGGUGGCAAGCGUUGUCCGGAAUUAUUGGGCGUAAAGCGCGCGCAGGCGGCCUUUUAAGUCUGAUGUGAAAGCCCCCGGCUCAACCGGGGAGGGUCAUUGGAAACUGGAAGGCUUGAGUGCAGAAGAGAAGAGCGGAAUUCCACGUGUAGCGGUGAAAUGCGUAGAGAUGUGGAGGAACACCAGUGGCGAAGGCGGCUCUUUGGUCUGUAACUGACGCUGAGGCGCGAAAGCGUGGGGAGCGAAC
rnacentral:rRNA from 1 species